GCCAGCAUGGCCUAGUGGUUUGAGCGUUGGAUUAUGACUCUGGAGACCAGGGUUCGAAUCCCGGCUCGGCCG